rnacentral:sRNA from 1 species
GGAGUCCACAGCUGCUGAAUCUGAAGGGCCAUCAGAAGACUGGCUUCUCCAUGAUGGUUUAUGGACUAAGGCAAAGAUGAGCAGAGCCAUGGCCCUCUUCUUUGUUCUCUGCUGGAUCCAAGUUAUUGUUAUUAUUUUUGAGAUAGGUUCUCCCUCUGUCACCCAGAGCUGGAGUGCGGUGGCAUAAUCACAGCUAAUUGCAGCCUCAACAUUCCAGGCCCAAGGAUCCUCCCUUCAGCCUUCCAGGUAGCUGGGACCACAGAGAUGGGAUUUCAUCAUGUUGGCCAGGCUGGUCAUGAACUCCUGACCUCAAUGGAUCCUCCUGCCUCAGCUUCCUGAGUAGCUGGGACCACAGGUGCACACCACCACGCCCAGCCUCCCCGAGUGCUGGGAUUAAAGACGUGAGCCACGGCACCUGGCCUGAAUUUUCCUCAAAUUCAAAAAAUCCUGAUGAAGGUUUGGCUAAAAUCUUUGGUGAGUUACCCCACUCCCUGUGGAACCUCAGGCUGGAUUUGAAGAGUUGCGUGCAUGGUCCUCAUUGUCUCCCAGGUAACCUGUUCCCGCUGCUGUGAAGGGAAGGCAGGUGCUCUUCCUUGAGGCUAGAAUCUGUCUACGUGUCACAGUCUCAGGAAAUUAAGCAAAACAGAUGAUAAACACCUCAAAAGGACCCUACUGAGCAUCAGUGGAGCAGAGCAGGGCCAUGU